ACUCAGUGAAAUUGAACUCGCUGUGAAGAUGCAGUGUACCCGCGGCAAGACGGAAAGACCCCGUGAACCUUUACUAUAGCUUGACACUGAACAUUGAGCCUUGAUGUGUAGGAUAGGUGGGAGGCUUUGAAGUGUGGACGCCAGUCUGCAUGGAGCCGACCUUGAAAUACCACCCUUUAAUGUUUGAUGUUCUAACGUGGACCCGUUACCCGGGUUGCGGACAGUGUCUGGUGGGUAGUUUGACUGGGGCGGUCUCCUCCUAAAGAGUAACGGAGGAGCACGAAGGUUGGCUAAUCCUGGUCGGACAUCAGGAGGUUAGUGCAAUGGCAUAAGCCAGCUUGACUGCGAGCGUGACGGCGCGAGCAGGUGCGAAAGCAGGUCAUAGUGAUCCGGUGGUUCUGAAUGGAAGGGCCAUCGCUCAACGGAUAAAAGGUACUCCGGGGAUAACAGGCUGAUACCGCCCAAGAGUUCAUAUCGACGGCGGUGUUUGGCACCUCGAUGUCGGCUCAUCACAUCCUGGGGCUGAAGUAGGUCCCAAGGGUAUGGCUGUUCGCCAUUUAAAGUGGUACGCGAGCUGGGUUUAGAACGUCGUGAGACAGUUCGGUCCCUAUCUGCCGUGGGCGCUGGAGAACUGAGGGGGGCUGCUCCUAGUACGAGAGGACCGGAGUGGACGCAUCACUGGUGUUCGGGUUGUCAUGCCAAUGGCACUGCCCGGUAGCUAAAUGCGGAAGAGAUAAGUGCUGAAAGCAUCUAAGCACGAAACUUGCCCCGAG
rnacentral:rRNA from 1 species